UACGAAGGGUGCAAGCGUUAAUCGGAAUUACUGGGCGUAAAGCGUGCGUAGGCGGUUUCUUAAGUCUGCUGUGAAAGCCCCGGGCUCAACCUGGGAAUGGCGGUGGAUACUGAGGAGCUGGAGUACGGUAGAGGAAGGUGGAAUUCCCGGUGUAGCGGUGAAAUGUGUAGAGAUCGGGAGGAACAUCAGUGGCGAAGGCGGCCUUCUGGACCAGUACUGACGCUGAGGCACGAAAGCGUGGGUAGCAAACAGG
rnacentral:rRNA from 1 species